AUGCUUUGCUUACGGUCUGCCUAUCAUUAAAUCGAUGAAUUUCAAGAGGCGUGAGAUUGAUUGUGCUGCGCUUUAAAAAUCACUGCAUCGAAAUAAUACGUGGGCUGUCUGGUUACAAGUGCCACGCCCACUGAGCGACAUGUGCAACAUGAGUUGGCAUUCCAAUGAAGUGUGCAACGACAGUCAGAAGUCACUUCACUCGACUUGUGGUAAAGUUUGCCAUGGGCUUCUUAGUACACCGACUCACAAAGCUCAAUCUCCUUUUUCCUUGUGUGUGUGUGUGUGUGUGUUAUUAUCGUUUCCGCUUCCGCUACAUGGCACACAAAGACAACGGGACUGCAAUGGCGGAAACAGCAAAACACAAUUUCACAAAGAGUCUUUGACAUUUAUUUAUCAUUGCACAAUGACAAUUCUUCUAUUUUUGACAAGUCAUAAAAAGAGCACAUGACAACUGCAAUGAUGACAGCUCCAAACUGCAACUGCGUCUACAACUACAACAGCAAAGCACAGCCGAGCACAAACUUCACUGCCAUCACAGCUUUGUCUGCCCCCGCGGACAUGGGACAAUGUCUGGGCCGGACAAUGACUUCAAACGCCGCCGGCUGCUGUCAUCGUAGACGAUUUUCGCUCGCCAUAUUGCAGCCAAGUAUUUGACGAAAACACGCAGCAGAUGCAACGCCAGCAAAAUAAUGCCCGACAGCAGUCCGAAAACAUCCAGCGAAUAGUAGCUAACGAAACUG